GAUGAACGCUGGCGGCGUGCUUAACACAUGCAAGUCGAACGAUGCAGCCCAGCUUGCUGGCUGGCUUAGUGGCGAACGGGUGAGUAACACGUGAGUAACCUGCCCUUAACUCUGGGAUAAGCCUGGGAAACUGGGUCUAAUACCGGAUAGGAGCGUCCACCGCAUGGUGGGUGUUGGAAAGGUUUAUCGGUUUUGGAUGGACUCGCGGCGGCUCAGCUUGUUGGUAAGGUAAUGGCUCACCAAGGCGACGACCGAUAGCUGGCCUGAGAGGGGGACCAGCCACACUGGGACUGAGACACGGCCCAGACUCCUACGGGAGGCAGCAGUGGGGAAUAUUGGACAAGGGGCGAAAGCCUGAUCCAGCAAUGCCGCGUGAGUGAUGAAGGCCUUAGGGUUGUAAAGCUCUUUUACCCGGGAUGAUAAUGACAGUACCGGGAGAAUAAGCUCCGGCUAACUCCGUG
rnacentral:rRNA from 1 species